UCAGAGUCAGGGGCUAUUGUGGCCUGGACAGAGGCAGAAAGACACGACACAGCAGGCUUCCUUCCUGUCUUGCUCUUAUCUGAAGUUGCAGAGAGUGGGUGGGAGUAUGCCUGAGGUGCAGUCUGCAGCCCAGGACGCUGAUUCCAGCAGCGCCUUACCGCGCAGCCUGAAGAUUCACUAUGGUGAAGAUCGCCUUCAAUACCCCCACCGCCGUGCAAAAGGAGGAGGCGCGGCAAGAUGUGGAGGCCCUCCUGAGCCGCACGGUCAGAACUCAGAUACUGACCGGCAAGG
rnacentral:sRNA from 1 species